rnacentral:rRNA from 1 species
AAGUCGUAACAAGGUCUCCGUUGGUGAACCUGCGGAGGGAUCAUUACCGAGUUAUACCACUCCUCAACCCUGUGAACAUACCUAAAACGUUGCUUCGGCGGGAACAGACGGCCCCGUAACACGGGCCGCCCCCGCCAGAGGACCCCCUAACUCUGUUUCUAUUAUGUUUCUUCUGAGUAAAACAAGCAAAUAAAUUAAAACUUUCAACAACGGAUCUCUUGGCUCUGGCAUCGAUGAAGAACGCGGCGAAAUGCGAUAAGUAAUGUGAAUUGCAAAAUUCAAUGAAUCAUCAAAUCUUUGAACGCACAUUGCGCCCGCCAGUAUUCUGGCGGGCAUGCCUGUUCCAGCGUCAUUACAACCCUCACGCCCCCGGGCCUGGCGUUGGGGAUCGACGAGGCGCCCCCUGCGGGCACACUCCGUCCCCUGAAUACAGUGGCGGUCCCGCCGCAUCUUCCAUUGCCUAUUAACUAACACCUCGCAACUGGAGAGCGGCGCGGCCACGCUUUAUAACACCCAACUUCUGAAUGUUGACCUCGCAUCAGGUAGGAAUACCCGCUGAUCUUA